GUCCGCUUUGGAUACUGGCAAAAUAGAAUUAUAAAGAGGUUAGCGGAAUUCCUAGUGAAGCGGUGGAAUGCGUAGAUAUUAGGAAGAACACCAAUAGGCGAAGGCAGCUAACUGGUUAUAUAUUGACACUAAGGGACGAAAGCGUGGGGAGCAAACAGGAUUAGAUACCCUGGUAGUCCACGCCGUAAACGAUGAUCAUUAGUUGGUGGAAUAAUUUCACUAACGCAGCUAACGCGUUAAAUGAUCCGCCUGAGUAGUAUGCUCGCAAGAGUGAAAAUUAAAGGAAUUGACGGGAACCCGCACAAGCGGUGGA
rnacentral:rRNA from 1 species